GAUGAACGCUGGCGGCGUGCUUAACACAUGCAAGUCGAACGGUGAACCCGGAGCUUGCUCUGUGGGAUCAGUGGCGAACGGGUGAGUAACACGUGAGCAACCUGCCCCUGACUCUGGGAUAAGCGCUGGAAACGGCGUCUAAUACUGGAUAUGUGACGUGACCGCAUGGUCUGCGUUUGGAAAGAUUUUUCGGUUGGGGAUGGGCUCGCGGCCUAUCAGCUUGUUGGUGAGGUAAUGGCUCACCAAGGCGUCGACGGGUAGCCGGCCUGAGGGGGUGACCGGCCACACUGGGACUGAGACACGGCCCAGACUCCUACGGGAGGCAGCAGUGGGGAAUAUUGCACAAUGGGCGCAAGCCUGAUGCAGCAACGCCGCGUGAGGGAUGACGGCCUUCGGGUUGUAAACCUCUUUUAGCAGGGAAGAAGCGAAAGUGACGGUACCUGCAGAAAAAGCGCCGGCUAACUACGUG
rnacentral:rRNA from 1 species